rnacentral:rRNA from 1 species
GUGAGCAACCUGCCCUCCACUUCGGGAUAAGCCUUGGAAACGAGGUCUAAUACCGGAUAUGAGCGCCUGCCGCAUGGUGGGUGUUGGAAAGUUUUUCGGUGGGGGAUGGGCUCGCGGCCUAUCAGCUUGUUGGUGGGGUAAUGGCCUACCAAGGCGUCGACGGGUAGCCGGCCUGAGAGGGCGACCGGCCACACUGGGACUGAGACACGGCCCAGACUCCUACGGGAGGCAGCAGUGGGGAAUAUUGCACAAUGGGCGAAAGCCUGAUGCAGCGACGCCACGUGAGGGAUGACGGCCUUCGGGUUGUAAACCUCUUUCAGCAGGGAAGAAGCGCAAGUGACGGUACCUGCAGAAGAAGCGCCGGCUAACUACGUGCCAGCAGCCGCGGUAAUACGUAGGGCGCAAGCGUUGUCC